UGGACGCACACACUCCUCUGUCGUGACGCAGUAUAUUGUAACACAGGCAACGGUGGCGCUGUGAACUUUGUUGAGGUUCAUAUUGGAUAACGCCGCGACAGGAGGAAGGCAGUAUCUAGUUUAGUAACACCCAUGAGAAGCAGUGUUAUCUGUUGUAUUUGUGCAUCUUCUACUGAUUGCUGGAUUGCAAGAUGCCCUCCGAGUGCAGCAAAGAGCUCAAGAUUCAGCGCGCCCCAUGCUGUGAACAAAUUUGGAAGAUACAGCGGGACGUGCACCGGGGCAUAAAGUUUGCCUUCACCAAUUUCACGUCCACGUCUGGAAAGAGCUCCGCCAAAUGCACAAUUUGUCGGCGUACAGUUGUUGUUCUUGUAGAAUCCAUUCCAGAGGGGGAGCAAAAGUCCAAUGUGAAAGGAACAAACAAAAUUCAAUUCAGCGGCAGAGCAGAAGCUGCUGGUGUGUGUGCAGACAGAGGAAGACUCCAUCUCCAGAGUUAACACUUGUCACUCAGCUGAAUUUGUACAUUUAAUGGGGGACUGGCAGCGGGUGCAUUUCCACCUGAACCAAGGCCAAUUUGUGAACUGAACAAAAUGUAUAACAAUGCAACACGAGAUCUGCAUGACCUUUUCUUUUAGGUAUAAAUGGUUGCAUUCAUCUUAAUGAAUUCAAUUAAAUUCAAUUUGUAAAGUUCCAAACCACAACAUAUUUCGAGACCCAUUACACAGUGAGGUCGGGAUCUUACAAAAAAACCCAACAGUUCACACAAUAACCAAAUACUUGGUGACUGUGGAACAAACACAGGAACCUUCAACAGAACCAGGCCCGGUUGUGGGCGCCCAUCUGCCUCGACCGGGUGUGGGGAGAGGAGCAAAAUAUGGGACAGAGGAGAGGUGGGCUGAGGGACAGAUGGACAGAGGGGUUGAUUGGACUGAGUAUAUAUGAUGAGAAUGAAUGAGUCGUUGUGGGGUGACUGAGUGAUUAGGCAGAGAGCUAAAUGAGUUUUGUGAUAUUUCUGUUUUGGGUCAUCCAAAAUUGCAAGUCAGCACUGUCUGAGGAAAUGGACAAAAUCGGAUCAUGUGGUCUUCUGUUGCCUUGUUCUCGAGGGCUUAGCACGAAGACGUGGUGGCAACGCAAGUGGAGGGCCACUCCUUCAUCCAGCGUGCUGAAUGAGUGGGCGGCUGGAUGCAAACGUGGCAGACAGAGCCUUGAAGAUGACCUACAUCCUGGAGGGCUGACCUACGUCACCACGCAGGAGAUACGACUUCUCCAAGGUUGGCUCCCUGACAGCUGUACCAAGUUUGUCAAUGUGGGAAUGUUGAAAGAAAAUGAUAGGCUUUCUAAAGCUGACUCCUUUCAUGGCCCCCGUGCAUCAGAUAGCGGAGGACUUUGCAUUGCACAGCAGUCACAGGAAGACAUGCAGACAGCUGGAUACAAGGACACUCAGUAAAAGUCGUCACUUUUCUUGUACACUGCAUUGUUCUAUCAUGUGUGUUUGUGGGCUGUCUCUGCUGUAGAGCAUAUAUCCCCUGUGAAUCUCUAUGCUGUCUGCCAGAGGCGGCCCUGGCGAUGUUGGCGCCCCAGGCGAGAUUUCUGAUCAGUGCCUCCCCCCACCCCCAAGGUGUUUA